AACGAACGCUGGCGGCAGGCUUAACACAUGCAAGUCGAGCGCCCCUUCGGGGGAGCGGCAGACGGGUGAGUAACGCGUGGGAACCUACCCUUGGGUAUGGGAUAACUCCGGGAAACCGGGGCUAAUACCGUAUACGCCCUUCGGGGGAAAGAUUUAUCGCUGUCGGAUGAGCCCGCGUCGGAUUAGCUUGUUGGCGGGGUAACGGCCCACCAAGGCAACGAUCCGUAGCUGGUCUGAGAGGAUGAUCAGCCUCACUGGGACUGAGACACGGCCCAGACUCCUACGGGAGGCAGCAGUGGGGAAUAUUGGACAAUGGGCGCAAGCCUGAUCCAGCCAUGCCGCGUGAGUGAAGAAGGCCCUAGGGUUGUAAAACUCUUUCACCGAUGAAGAUAAUGACGGUAGUCGGAGAAGAAGCCCCGGCUAACUCCGUGCCAGCAGCCGCGGUAAUACGGAUGGGGCUAGCGUUGUUCGGAAUUACUGGGCGUAAAGGGCGCGUAGGCGGAUUAUCAAGUCAGAGGUGAAAGCCCUGGGCUCAACCUGGGAACUGCCUUUGAAACUGAUAGUCUUGAGUCCGAGAGAGGUGAGUGGAAUUCCGAGUGUAGAGGUGAAAUUCGUAGAUAUUCGGAGGAACACCAGUGGCGAAGGCGGCUCACUGGCUCGGUACUGACGCUGAGGCGCGAAAACGUGGGGAGCAAACAGGAUUAGAUCCCCUGGUAGUCCACGCCGUAAACGAUGGAAGCUAGCCGUCGGGCAGUAUACUGUUCGGUGGCGCAGUUAACGCAUUAAGCUUCCCGCCUGGGGAGUACGGCCGCAAGGUUAAAACUCAAAUGAAUUGACGGGGGCCCGCACAAGCGGUGGAGCAUGUGGUUUAAUUCGAAGCUACGCGCAGAACCUUACCAUCCCUUGACAUCCUCAACGCGGAUCGCAGAGAUGCUUUCCUUCAGUGGCUGGUUGAGUGACAGGUGCUGCAUGGCUGUCGGCAGCACCUGUCGUGAGAUGUUGGGUUAAGUCCCGCAACGAGCGCAACCCUCGCCCUUAGUUGCCAUCAUUCAGUUGGGCACUCUAGGGGGACUGCCGGUGAUAAGCCGCGAGGAAGGUGGGGAUGACGUCAAGUCCUCAUGGCCCUUACGGGAUGGGCUACACACGUGCUACAAUGGCAGUGACAGUGGGCAGCAAUGGUGCGAGCCGGAGCUAAUCUCCAAAAACCGUCUCAGUUCGGAUUGCACUCUGCAACUCGGGUGCAUGAAGUUGGAAUCGCUAGUAAUCGCGGAUCAGCACGCCGCGGUGAAUACGUUCCCGGGCCU
rnacentral:rRNA from 1 species